rnacentral:rRNA from 1 species
AUAAGGUCAAGUUAGUAAGGGCAUACGGUGGAUGCCUAGGCGCUGAGAGGCGAAGAAGGGCGCGGACAGCUGCGAAAAGCUACGGAGAGCCGCAAGCAGGCGUAGACCCGUAGAUACCCGAAUGGGGCAACCCGUCCGGAGUCAUAUCCGGACAUCGCUGACUGAAUCCAUAGGUCAGUGAAGCCAACCCGGGGAACUGAAACAUCUAAGUACCCGGAGGAAAAGAAAUCAAGCGAGAUUCCCCCAGUAGCGGCGAGCGAACGGGGAAAAGCCUAAACCGUCUCUUCGGAGACGGGGUUGCGGGACCUUCAUCACGAACGAAUCAUCCUAGUCGAAGCGGUCUGGAAAGGCCCGGCACAGCAGGUAACA